GGGCCUAUAGCUCAACGGCAGAGCGCGCGGCUCAUAACCGCUCGGUUCUAGGUUCGAAUCCUAGUGGGCCCACCU
rnacentral:tRNA from 1 species